rnacentral:rRNA from 2 species
AGAGUCUGAUGGAGCACGCCGCGUGAGUGAAGAAGGGUUUCGGCUCGUAAAACUCUGUUGUUAAAGAAGAACAUAUCUGAGAGUAACUGUUCAGGUAUUGACGGUAUUUAACCAGAAAGCCACGGCUAACUACGUGCCAGCAGCCGCGGUAAUACGUAGGUGGCAAGCGUUGUCCGGAUUUAUUGGGCGUAAAGCGAGCGCAGGCGGUUUUUUAAGUCUGAUGUGAAAGCCUUCGGCUCAACCGAAGAAGUGCAUCGGAAACUGGGAAACUUGAGUGCAGAAGAGGACAGUGGAACUCCAUGUGUAGCGGUGAAAUGCGUAGAUAUAUGGAAGAACACCAGUGGCGAAGGCGGCUGUCUGGUCUGUAACUGACGCUGAGGCUCGAAAGUAUGGGUAGCAAACAGGAUUAGAUACCCUGGUAGUCCAUACCGUAAACGAUGAAUGCUAAGUGUUGGAGGGUUUCCGCCCUUCAGUGCUGCAGCUAACGCAUUAAGCAUUCCGCCUGGGGAGUACGGCCGCAAGGCUGAAACUCAAAGGAAUUGACGGGGGCCCGCACAAGCGGUGGAGCAUGUGGUUUAAUUCGAAGCUACGCGAAGAACCUUACCAGGUCUUGACAUACUAUGCAAAUCUAAGAGAUUAGACGUUCCCUUCGGGGACAUGGAUACAGGUGGUGCAUGGUUGUCGUCAGCUCGUGUCGUGAGAUGUUGGGUUAAGUCCCGCAACGAGCGCAACCCUUAUUAUCAGUUGCCAGCAUUAAGUUGGGCACUCUGGUGAGACUGCCGGUGACAAACCGGAGGAAGGUGGGGAUGACGUCAAAUCAUCAUGCCCCUUAUGACCUGGGCUACACACGUGCUACAAUGGAUGGUACAACGAGUUGCGAACUCGCGAGAGUAAGCUAAUCUCUUAAAGCCAUUCUCAGUUCGG